AACGAACGCUGGCGGCAUGCCUAACACAUGCAAGUCGAACGAAGCCUUCGGGCUUAGUGGCGCACGGGUGCGUAACACGUGGGAAUCUGCCCUUUGGUUCGGAAUAACAGUUAGAAAUGACUGCUAAUACCGGAUAAUGACGUAAGUCCAAAGAUUUAUCGCCGAAGGAUGAGCCCGCGUAGGAUUAGGUAGUUGGUGGGGUAAUGGCCCACCAAGCCGACGAUCCUUAGCUGGUCUGAGAGGAUGAUCAGCCACACUGGGACUGAGACACGGCCCAGACUCCUACGGGAGGCAGCAGUGGGGAAUAUUGGACAAUGGGCGAAAGCCUGAUCCAGCAAUGCCGCGUGAGUGAUGAAGGCCUUAGGGUUGUAAAGCUCUUUUACCAGGGAUGAUAAUGACAGUACCUGGAGAAUAAGCUCCGGCUAAACUCCGUG
rnacentral:rRNA from 1 species